rnacentral:rRNA from 1 species
GACGAACGCUGGCGGCGUGCCUAACACAUGCAAGUCGAGCGGAGUCGAUCGACGGAAGCCUUCGGGCGGAAGAUGGUUGACUUAGCGGCGGAUGGGUGAGUAACGCGUGGGCAACCUGCCUCGAAGACCGGGAUAACAGACCGAAAGGGCUGCUAAUACCGGAUGUGGUCAAGGAUCCGCAUGGAUCUUUGAUUAAAGGGGAAACCCGUUUCGAGAUGGGCCCGCGUCCUAUCAGCUAGUUGGUGAGGUAAAAGCUCACCAAGGCGACGACGGGUAGCCGGCCUGAGAGGGUGACCGGCCACACUGGAACUGAGACACGGUCCAGACUCCUACGGGGGGCAGCAGUGGGGAAUCUUCCACAAUGGGCGAAAGCCUGAUGGAGCGACGCCGCGUGAGCGAAGAAGGCCUUCGGUUGUAAAGCUCUGUCUGGAGGGACGAAGGAAGUGACGGUACCUCCGGAGGAAGCCACGGCUAACUACGUG